GUACAGCCCAUGCUCAUAGGUGCUUGCUCACGGACAGGUAGGGGCAGAAAGUGAAAUACCCGCAGUCAGGCAUAUGGACAAGCAUGUCACCCUGAAGCCCCCCCACCCCACCCCACCCCACUCCGGGGAACUCAGACUAUAACCUCGCACGCAUUUGCACACAAAACUAUGGCCCUAGGAGCUCUAUACCAAAGCGCAGAAUGAGCAGAAUUCGCCAGAAAUUCUAGCGGAAUUUAACAUUGUUAAGAAGCAUGAAAGGUGAACGCAGUGUUAGCUCCCCCCCCCCCCCCCAUCUGCACAAGAACAGCAAGUAAACCCCGGCUUGAGCCCCCACGGCCCCCACGGCCCCAAGAACAGGCCUGCGGAUGUCGUUCCCAGAGCCGCCGGCAGAGGGCGAUGCUGCGAGGCGGUGCGGGAGCUGCGCCCGGGCCCGGUUACCGCGCGCGGGGAAGUUCCUGGGGCCCCGCAGAGUUUCAGGUGGGCGCAGGUUCCCAUGCUGGCUUUCCUCGUAGUUUCUGCCCGGGGGGGGGGGGGGGCGGGGGGAAUGGAAACCGGGCGAGAGCAGCGGAGCUCCCCGACCGCACACUUCCUCGGUUUGUCCCAUCCGGCGAGGGCGGGGGCUGCUGGGCCGGCGGUCCCACUGGUUAUCCGACCUGGUGCUCGGGUUGGGCGGAGACAGGGCCUCCAGCUCCCAGCGCCUUCUCCCAUCUCGUCUGCCCUUAGGCUUCAAGCGACAAGAGAGGAUCUUCUCUCGUUAGACAACAAAGCACAGCAUCCUGUAUCCGAGGCAUAUGUAGAUGCGGGCAAAUUCACAGGUGGUCCUGAUGUGGGGACCAUGGCCUGCACUCUGAGACACUCUGCACAACUCCAGCGUUCCGUUGCCCAGAGAUGC
rnacentral:lncRNA from 12 species